rnacentral:rRNA from 1 species
GAUGAACGCUGGCGGCGUGCCUAACACAUGCAAGUCGAACGGACUUAAUAUGAAACCUAGUGAUUGUUAAGUUAGUGGCGGACGGGUGAGUAACGCGUGGAUAACCUGCCGUAUGCAGGGGGAUAACAGUUGGAAACAGCUGCUAAUACCGCAUAAGCGCACGGUGCCGCAUGGUACAGUGCGAAAAGAUUUAUCGGCAUACGAUGGAUCCGCGUCCGAUUAGCCAGUUGGCGGGGUAACGGCCCACCAAAGCGACGAUCGGUAGCCGGCCUGAGAGGGCGGACGGCCACAUUGGGACUGAGACACGGCCCAA